AUCUAGUUAGGCUACGGUCUAUCCAACAGUUGUCUGAUGCGUUCUUAAGAUUUAAAUGAAAUGUAAUCUAAAUUUAAUAAUAAGAAGAGUUUGAAAAAUAUAAAUAAGUACUAAUUUCCGCCUCGCAGUGAAUAUCUACCUCUCAAGAAGAUUGCGAUUCUAUGGACCUAAAAUUAAUGGAGAAUAUUAGUAUGUGUCAGCAGUAAAAAUCAAUGCGAACAAGAAGUUUUCUCGCUUUUGAGGAUCUUUACGAGACACUCUUGUGGGUGGAAUGUUUUAAUCCAUGUGAAUUAAUGCGAAGAAACCGAAUUAUUGUUUUCAGUUCUAUAAGGGAGCGAGGAUGAUUUGGACUACUCCUAACAGUUACGCCGCGUCGGAGUGACUGAAACCCACGUGUCUUAGUCAGACACCACCCAGUGAAUCUGCCGUGCGCAAGUCUGAUAUUUCACAUUGUUGAAUAUUUGUUAGCUUGGAGGAUUAGAUUAGAAAGAGCAAUCUUCAUUCUGGCACCGAGUUCAUCCGCAUAUCUUAGUGCCGAAUUGUCCACGCGCACAUCUUCCAUUAGGAGAUCACAAUCAAGGUG